rnacentral:lncRNA from 1 species
AAAGAUGCUCAAGGCUUGGGAUGCUGCUCAGAGGUACAGCGAUUGCUUAGCACGCACGAGACCCUGGGUGUGACCCCAGCUCAGAAAGAAAUGUCCUUAUCAUUAGUCAUUAAAGUAAUGCAAAUUAAUCCCAAAACUUGACGCCAUCUCAUAUCCAGAAGGCUAUUUUUAAAAAGGGAACUGCCAAGAAAGAUAUGGGGAAAUGAAGUCUUUGUACAUUGCUGGCAGGAAUAUAACAUGGUAUAGGUCCCAUGGGAGACAAAAUCCGGGACUGACCACACGAUCCAGCCAUCCAUCCCACUUCAAGCUGUGUCCAAAGAGCUGAAAGGAGGGCUGGAACAGACACGAGCAAACAAAUCUUCCUUGUUGCAUUCUUCAUGGAGGCUGAAAAGUGGAAAUGACUCACAGGUCUGCCAACAUAUGAGACAUGUUAUCUGCAGAUACUGCACAUACAUACAGCCUGGCUGUGAAAACAAAUGGAAGUUCUGCUACAUGCAACAGCAUGGGCAAACCUCCAGGACAUUGUGCGGUGACAAACAGACCAGUGGCUAAGGGACAGGUAUUAGAUCAUUCCACUUACUUGAGGAACUUAGAAUAGGCAAAUUAAAACAAAACAAAACUGGAAGUAGAUUUUAAGUCACCAGAAGGUAGAGGGAGGAAGAAUGGAAUUAUUAAUAAUUAGAGUCUUCGAGGUGAUAAAAAGCUUUAGGAAAUAGGUUGGGGAGGGCUGCAUCAUUUUUAAAAUGUAGUUAAUGACACUGAAGUAUGCACUUAAAAUAGCUACAAGGGAAACUUUUGAAUUAUAUAUUCUCUUUUGUUUAAUUACUUUGUUAAGAGCUCAUCGUGUAGCUCAGGCUAGCCUCAAACUCACAAUUUUUCUGCCUCAUCUCCCAGUUCUGGGAUUAAGGCCUGUGCCAUGGCACCAGUUCUGUAGUACAUACAUGUAUACAAUAUGUAUACAUGUUUAUAUAUUACAUAACAAUAUUUUACUAUAAUUUAAAAAUUGUCAUGUACAGCCUUAUGAGCUUUGCAUAUUUAUUAUAUUAUAUUUAUAUUGCAAUAAAGUUGUUUUGUUUUACU